UAGCUGGACGUGGUGGCAGGCAUCUGUAAUUCCAGCUACUUGAGAGGCUGAGGUAGGAGAACUGCUUGAACCCAGGAGGCGGAGGUUGCAGUGAGCUGAGAUAGUGUCACUGCACUCUAGCCUGGGUGACAGAGUGCGACUCUGUCUCCAAAAGUAAAUAAUAAAUAAAUAAAUAGUCCAUUUGCAAACCAGUAAUAAAAUGAGCAUCCGUUACCUUACAAAAGGUAAGUCCAAAAAACUUUUUGGCAAAAUCAUACUCAAAGGAAAAAUGAUAAAAUUGAGAUGCUUAAACACUGGAAAUAUGACAAGAGCACUAUCUCUUACCACUUCACAUUACACUAGAUCUCUAGUGCUGCCAUAAAACUAGAAACAUAAAUCGCAGAAUCGUGGAGGAAAUACUGAACACCGUAAUGAACUCAUCUUUAAAUUGUUCUAUAAUUCAACAAAAUACCAAACUCCCAACAAGGGAGGUUUUUUCUUUGUUUUGUGUGUUUUUUUAAGGUUUCUCUGAGGAUAUUGACAAGUAGAUUCCCAAAUUUUAUAUGGAAAAAAUAUGGCUCAGAUACAGUGAAGACACUGCUGACCUUGAAGAUGAAUGCGAAGUAUGUCAGACAUGACAUUGUGCAUUGCUGGAGAAUGGAAGGGAAUGACAGUUUCACAUGGGAAGAAUAAACAAUCAGUUUUUCUAUUUAGGCAAAUUAGUUAGAAAUUGGAAAUCUAAUAUAUUAAAAACCUAAAUGUAAAUGGCUAAAGAUUAAACUGUUAUAGAAAAAAAAAAAAACAGAUGAAUUCUUUAGGAGCUUGGGGUAAUGCAUUAGGUAGGCUGAAAAGGUUAUAUUGUGUUAACAAAUAAUCCCCACAUGCAAGCACUUUUCCCCAUUGCUUGUUUAAUUCUCCUGCACACAACGUCUGCUCCUUGUCCUAGUGACUCCCCAGGGGUCAGUGUCCUCAAAGGGCAGCACAGCCAUGCAAGCGGACUGGACGGAGAUGGCAAAGUCUCACAUUUUCAUCAAGUGCCGUGCGUGCUUUGCUAUUGUUGCUGUUGUUCACGCGUUUGGUGUUAUCUGUUAAAAUCUAUGACCAAAUCUAAAGCUAUGAAGAUCAAUCUCUGUGUUUCCUUGCAACCGCUGUAUAACUUUAGCUUGGAUACUUAGAUUUCGAAAUACUUUGUGCUCAUUGUUGCAUGUGGUGUAAAGUAGGAAUCCAACUUCAUUCUCCUGCAAGUGGAAAUACAGUUGUCCAAGCACCAUUUGUUGAAGAGACUAUUUUUUGUGCCCAUUGAAUAGACUGUACACCCUUAUUAAAAUCAGUUGGCUGCAGAUGCAUGAGUUUAUUUCUGCAGCCUUGAUCUAUUCCAUUUGUCUCUCUAUAUAAGCUUAUGCCAGGAUCACACUGCUUUAUUACUGUAGUUUGUGAUAUGUUUUGUAAGUCGUCUCACUUUGGUAUACUUUGUCAAGAUUAUUUUGACACCUUGGGGCCCCUAACAAUUCCAAAUGAAUUUGAGAAUUUGCUACUUUAUUUCUGCAGAAAGUCUGUUGGAGUUUUGGUAGGGAUUGCAUGGACUCUGUGAAUCAUUUCGUGUAGUACUGACGUCUUCACAAUAUUAAGUAUUUCAAUCCAUGACAAAGAAAUGUCUUUUUAAAAUUUAUAUUUUCUGUAAUUUUUUCCAUAAAUGUUUUCUAAUUUCCAGUGUACAAGCCUUUGAUCUCUUUGGUUCAAAUUUAUGACUAGGUAAUUUUUCUUUCCUUUUUUCCUUUCUUCUUCUUUCUCUCUCUUUUUUUCUUCCCAUUUUCCUAUCUUUCCCCUUUUUCGUUUUCCUUUUAAAAUUAUAGUUAAAUGUGGAUAACAUACAAUUUACCAUUGUAACCAUUGUAACGGUACAGCUUUUUGGCAUUAAGUAUUAGGUUGGUGGAAAAGUAAUUGCUGGUUUUGCCAUUACUUCUAAAUCAGCAAUUGCUUUUGCACCAACCUAAUACAUUCAUAUUGUUAUACCAAUCUCCAGAACUUUCACCUGCCCUAACUGAGGCUCUGUACCAUUAGUGUGAAUAACCCACUUCCCCCUCCUCCUGCCCCCGGGAUCAGCAUGGUACCUGCUGCCUCUAUGAGUUUAAAUAAUCUAGGUACUCAGACAAUUGGAAUCAUACCAUCUUCCUUGUAGCCAAGGAGUCUGAGAUUCAGAGUACAAGGGCUACUUCAUCAGGACCACGCCCCACGCUGACGGCCGAGCAGAAGGGCCCAGGCCUUGCCCUCCCUGGAUGGAUGGCCCGCAGAUUUGCUGGUGAGGAGGAGAAACAAACCACACCACCCUCCUUUAAUUGCACACCAGGAUUUCUUUUCCAUUGCUUUUUCCACUCCAUUUAAAAUAGCGUUUUAAAUCUACUCACGUUUGAUACUACCCAAAUUAAAAGUAUAAAAAGUAGAUGAGCCCAAUAUACAUACAAGUGGGAAAUAAUGCUAGAACUUAAAACGUAGAAAAUUUUAUCUUCAUGAAAUAUAAGCUGAGAAAAUCCAGAAUAUAGGUACACAUAAUUCUUUAAAUACUCACUUGUUCCCUAAACUUCAGCCACUUGUCAUUUUUGGUAUUCUGAUGGUGUGAGAUAAGUAACAAAGGGAAAUGGCAACAGUAAUCAAAGAGUCACGUGAUCAGUAGCUGCAAUUUUGUGACAUAAGCUUGUGUGGAGAAGGCAGUAUGUUGGGUGUGAACCAAAUAAAAUUGUUCCCAAAUAUGGACCGUGAACCACCUUUCUUAUUUUUUAUUUGAACUUACUAUGUCUACAUAAUAGUUACACAUAUUUAUGGGGUACAUGUGGCAUUUUGACAAGCAUUCAAUGAGUAAUGAUCAAAUCAGGGUAAUUGAAGUAUCCAUCACCUCAAGCAGUUAUCAUGUUUUGUGUGUUAGGAAUAGAACAUUGCAAUCCACUCCUUUAGAUCAGCUCUUUUAGAGAAGAAAGCUCUUUUAGAGCUUUUAGAACAUUGCAAUUCCACUCUUUCAGAUCAGUGUGUUUAGAUCAGCUGACAGGACAGGUGAGGAGGGGAGACAGGUGUGUUUAGAUCAGCUGACAGGUGAGGAGGGAAGACAGGUGUGUUUAGACCAGCUGACAGAUGAUGAGGGGAGGGAGGUGUGUUUAGGUCAGCUGACAGGUGAGGAGGGGAGAGGUGUGUGUUUAGACCAGCACUGCAGUCCUUCGUUCCACCUCAACCUAGAUUGGUGGGAGGUACCUUUCCAAGCAUCCUCUGUGUGUGCUGCAGGUGGGAAGGCUGUGGGGGCAGCAGCCUGUACCCACUGUUGUCCUGCUGGAGGCUACAAGCUUCCAGGGGAGCCCUGCCUCUGGACAUUCGCAAAAUAGCACGGGGCAAAAAUGUGGGGUCAUCGGUAGAGGGCAGGGAGAGAUAGAGAUUCAGAUGGCCCUUGUAUGUCCCGAUCGCUUCCCUCUGUGCUUAGAUUCUGAAGAUGGAUCUGUUAUAGAUAAUUUGAGAAUCAAUAGCAUCAGGGCCUCCACCCCCUCUCUAAAUAGGACUCUGACAUUACCCAGCUGGCUAACACUUACCACUUGGGGAUUCACCAUUUCAUAUGUAGGCAGGAAAAGUUCCUGAGUGCAGCACUCCUUGGCUCCCCUUCUGUGUGGGCUAGAAGGAACUCAGAGAUGAGUGUGUGUACCUCAAGAGGGUGGCUGGCAUGGGAGGAGGGGUUCUGCCAGGAGUGGCUGCUGCAUUGGGGUUGAAAUGGCUUUGAAGCAGAUUAAUGGGGCCAAGUGCUGGGGCCAAAGAAAGUCAGAGUCACAGGUGAGUCUCAGGAGGUAUGCAGGACCCAUUAGGAAGAAAAUCCAGCCUAUGCGAUGUAGAACCAAGGAUGUACAACACUUUCCUUGUGCACCAGAGGUGAACAGUGCAUUUCCUGGAAGUGAGGAGGGCCCAGGCAGACAGACUCUGCCAUAAGCCAGGGUCAGUUAAGACCUGCAUGUAGCAGAAGACCCUGACAGGCAGACAGGGGAACUUUCCUCAAAGUUUCUUCUUUACACACCACACUCAACCUCACCUUCGGGGUUAGACUAGCUUGAAAUCUAAGAGAUACACCUUUUACCUAAAAGCACUGUUUCCAACAUUGCAUCAGAUUGCAUGACUCUAUUGGACUUUAUUUGUGCUCAUGACCUGUAGGAGAGAAACUGCAGGAAGAGCCAAUUAGCUACAAUAACACACAUGCUGUCCAUUAAUGACCUUGCUACAGAAAGGAAAGAAUGAGUCCCAGGGCAUCUCUGUGAGUAACAGAGUCUUUCAUGACUCUAGGAAGGUUGAGUUUGGGCAGCUCUGGAUGUCUGAGUAGUUGUUUUAGGAAAGCAUCGAUAAAUUCUGACUUAGUCACAACAUUUCACGGAAAAUAACAGAGGUUGGACAAUCACGCCAUGUUACAAAGAAGCAAUACUUACAAAUGAGAAUUAUUGAAAAUAAAGGCAGUCUGUGCUAUCAAGGUUGCUUUAGCUAAAUCUGACAAAUGUAGUAAAAAAAUCUCCAAUUUUAAAGGCAGUAAGAUGUCGUGAUCCAGAAGCUCAGGUGACAAGGCUUUAAUUAAAGAUAACAACAUAUUGGGAGGCCAAGGCGGGCGGA
rnacentral:lncRNA from 1 species